rnacentral:rRNA from 1 species
GAGGGAAUCUUCCACAAUGGGCGCAAGCCUGAUGGAGCAACACCGCGUGAGUGAAGAAGGGUUUCGGCUCGUAAAGCUCUGUUGUUAAAGAAGAACACGUAUGAGAGUAACUGUUCAUACGUUGACGGUAUUUAACCAGAAAGUCACGGCUAACUACGUGCCAG